UACGGGGGCAGGGCAGUGUCCGGAUUUAUUGGGCGUAAAGAGCGUGUAGGCGGCCGUACAGGUCAGCUGUGAAAACUCGAGGCUCAACCUCGAGACGUCGGUUGAAACCGUACGGCUAGAGUCCGGAAGAGGAGAGUGGAAUUCCCGGUGUAGCGGUGAAAUGCGCAGAUAUCGGGAAGAACACCCGUGGCGAAGGCGGCUCUCUGGGACGGUACUGACGCUGAGACGCGAAAGCGUGGGGAGCGAACAGG
rnacentral:rRNA from 1 species